rnacentral:tRNA from 1 species
GCGGGUAUAGUUCACCGGUAGAAUGAUUCCUUCCCAAGGAAUAGAAGUGGGUUCGAUUCCCAUUACCCGCUCAA